UGAAGACAUAAAAAUAUUUUUACUGUAUAAUCUUAGUUAAGAACUUCACACAAAGUGGCUCAGACAAGAUUAAACAUAUUUCACAGUGUGUUAGCUUAUAUGUGUACAUACGUGCAUAUAAGUAUGCGUGCACACAUGCAUGUGCGCGUACAAACACAC
rnacentral:sRNA from 1 species